GGAUAAACGCUGGCGGCGUGCAUGAGCCAUGCAAGUCGAACGAAGGAUCGGGCUUGCUCGAUCCUUAGUGGCGGACGGCUGAGUAACGCGUAGGUGACCUACCCCGAAGUGGGGAAUAACUGCCCGAAAGGGUGGCUAAUACCGCAUGUGGUCGCACGUUCAUUCGUGCGAGUAAAGCCGCAAGGCGCUUCGGGAGGGGCCUGCGUCCGAUUAGCUCGUUGGUGGGGUAAUGGCUUACCAAGGCGACGAUCGGUAGGUGGUCUGAGAGGACGAUCACCCAGACUGGGACUGAGACACGGCCCAGACUCCUACGGGAGGCAGCAGUCGGGAAUUUUGCUCAAUGGGGGAAACCCUGAAGCAGCAACGCCGCGUGAGGGAUGAAGGCCUUCGGGUUGUAAACCUCUUUUGUCAGGGACGAUGAUGACGGUACCUGGCGAAUAAGCCACGGCUAACUACGUG
rnacentral:rRNA from 1 species